GACGGAGAGAGAGAAGGAGAGGGGGAGGGAGAGAGAGAGAGAGCUGUGUCUGUGCUCUUACGGCAGCAGCGCUGGAGUGUGUGUGUGAGAGAGAGUGUGUUUGGCGCAGUCAUACAGAUGCAGUGUGUGUGUGUCCUGACAGCAGCAUGUGAGUGAGUGUAUGUGUGUGUCUGUGUGUUUUGUGAGCAGGUGUUUUCGCCAGGCAUCAGAGGGAGGGACACACACACCCUCCAAAUGAGCAGCAGCACGGAGGCGGCCGGACUAUUUGCCUUUUUCUUUCGUUUUUUGUUCUUCUUCUUCCUCAUCGUGGUCGUGGGAGGUGCUUUCUCCUCUCAUCUGCUCGUGCUGUCCAUCAUCUGCCUGCUCGUCUAUUUCUCCAUCUAUCUCAUCUAUAAUUUCUCUGAUUUGUGAGCGGAGGACUGUGUGCUCUCACCUCUUCUUCUCUUCCUCCUAAGAUUGUUUGAUUGUAGUUUUUUUUCUGCUUCUCUUUCCCUGUCUUUCAUUCAUUGAUCUGCUGCUCUUUCUGAUAUUAUUCAUGCACCAGCGCUCAUGUGUGUGUGAAUAAUUAAUCUGUUCAUUAAUAGAGAGUCUGAUCAGACCACAUAUACUGUGUGUGUGUGUGUGUGUGUGUGAGAGACCCUCCAUCAUCCUCCGCGUGUCUCUCUGCGGUCGUCUGUUAUCUGUGUCUGAGAGGACUCGCGCUGGAUGAGGGUUUGGAUGCAGCUCUUCUCUUCUGUUUCUCCUGAGGAGACUCGCUCGCUCGCUUCAUUCAUGAGUCUGGACUGCGCCGCGUCUCCAGAUGAGCAGACACACGCGCCUCUUUCUGCUCUUUUACAACUGGACUAAAUGCGGAGUGAAGCCGGUUUAGCAGAGGUGAAUGUGAACGGAUCGCCGAGCCGCCGGAGGACGUGUGCGCUGUUCGAUGCUCUGAAACCAGGACACUGAAGAUCAGCAGUUCCAGAGGACACACACACACACACACACACACACACACACACACAAGAAAAAGAGAGAUACUGCAGACCGACUGCUAUCAGUGUCCACAGUAGGGUAUGAGAGCGCUACAGCAUCAUGUGGUUUCUGAGAUGGAGGAGUGAGAGUUUGGCUAAAAACACACAAGGAUCUUCACUCCUCCAUCAUGUCCAUCUGCAUUUACCGUGGCUUAGCUCCACCCUCUCAGGAAAGGCGGGCGUGGCUUCAUAUUCUGGCUCC